rnacentral:tRNA from 1 species
GCAUGCGGUGAAGGACGGCCCGGCCAACCGCAGCUUCGGCCUGCAGGUGGCAGCGCUGGCGGGCUUGCCACGUUCCACCGUGGCGCAGGCGC